GGGCCCUGUGCCACCCAGCCAGGGCAUGGGAAGCCAGACUUCAAGUGAGAACCAGAGAGCCUCUUCCCAUCAUGGACCCCCAGGCUGGCCCCAGGUCUAGUGAAUGGGAGUCUCCUGGGACAAGGUCCUUGUCUCUCAUGAGUCACAGUGAGUCCCUGUGAUAUGGGCCCUCUAGGGGAGGAAGCUAAGGAAGGACUGGAGUCUCAUCACCCACAGUCUUUACCACCGGCCCCUUCGAGGAUGAGCUGGCUGCCCAGAGCUGAGUAGAGAGCUCAUGUCCCCCACCCCACACCACCAGGCACCCAUUGAGUUCCCCGGCCCGUUCCCUCUCUGGACAUUAUGUUGCCCCAUUCUGUCUGAGAACCUCCUUCCCGUGGUGUGUGGCACCCGAAGGCCCUCCUCCAUGGCUGUCACACAGGUUGAAUCCAGUCUCAGAGGGAACCAGUUUGGUUGGAAGUUCAUUUCUCACAGUUCUGGAGGCUGGGCAUCUGCUUGGCAACAGUGUCCUGCUGGUGAUUCUGCCAUUGGAGCCCAGGGAGAAGCCCUGAGGAAGAGAGCAGAUGCCAGUCUGCAGGAGCAAGCAGGGUAGAGAAGGAAGCAUCUGGUCAGCCAUGGGGAAACAUCCAGUGCACAUCGAGUUUGGAGCAAGGUGAAUUAGAAGUCUGGGAGACAAAGGACCAUCUCCGCAUGACUGAUGACUACUCAGGCUAGUGAUGAAUGGGUCUCUAAACCAAACACAUCAAUACCUGUGGGCGUGAGAAGGACAGGGCCUGCCGCCUGCGACACCGUUAAACCCUCUCCCAAGGACUUCGUGUUGAAACAGGCUCCAUAGUUACAGUGUGAUCCCAGGACAAAGAAAUAAAGGUCAGUGAUUGAAGGCAAUUCUUUACCUUCAAAUUAAGACGUGACAAAUCUGUCUUCUCUUUGCUGACAAUAUUUUGCUUCUUUUGCAAAACGAAGAUUAAAGUG